GUGGAAAAAUAAUUCUCUACUGGUCCAUGGAUGUGCUGCGUCAUCUUCUUCUCGUCUCGGUCUUGAUCGAAAACCUUGGAUUUCCUCCUGAAUCAGCAGUAAACCUGCGUCAAACUGCGGAAAUUGUUUCCGAGUACAUAGCAGCCGACUACUGAACUGCACCUUCGUUAUGGAAUGUGUUGGGCACUUUUAAGUUUUCCGUUUGUUGUUCCCCAGGAGAUCCAUACGUCGAGCACCUGUGCCAAUCUUUACUGCGGCAAAUGCCUCCGGGUACAUAGCAGCCGACUGCUAAGCUAUCUUCAUCGCGGAUUCUUGGAAAAACGUUCUAUUCCUGCUAUUUUGGGAAGUAUCAAGUUUUCCCCUUGCUGUUUCCGGUAGAUCCAUACAACGUGCACCGACAAGCACUACCACCACUCGGAUAACUUCGCCAUUAUUUAUAAAAAUCUUUAAUUGAAGUAUUGAAAUGGAAUAAAAAUAAACAUCGAUGGAAAAAUUAAACUGUAAACAACAACUCUAUGAGGGCAGGCUGGGUACUACCCAAAUGGUUCUCUACCCUACUUUGGACUCCGCAAGACACUCCGAUCGAAUAGAGUUCGCCGCCGUACCAAACUGACAAUCUACAAAACGCUCAUUAGACCUAGUCCUCUACUGACACGAGACCUGGACGAUGCUCGUGGAGGACCAAUGUGCAGUUGGAGUUUUCGAAAGGAAAGUGCUGCGUACCAUCUAUGGUGGGGUGCAGAUGGCGGACGGUACGUGGAGGAGGCGAAUGAACCACGAGUUGCAUCAGCUGCUGGGAGAACCAUCCAUCGUUCACAC